AGGAUAAACGCUGGCGGCGUGCCUAACACAUGCAAGUCGAACGCGCUUUCGUCUUCGGAGGAGAGCGAGUGGCGGACGGGUGAGUAACACAUGGGUACCUACCCCACAGUGAGGGAUACCGGCGAGAAAUCGCCGACAAUACCGCAUAGGCUUCUCUUUGGAGACGAGGAGAAGCAAAGUUGCGCAAGCGACGCUGAGGGAUGGGCCUGUGGCCGAUUAGCUAGUUGGGGGGUAACGGCCUCCCAAGGCUUCGAUCGGUAGCUGGUCUGAGAGGACGAUCAGCCACACUGGGAUUGAGAACGGCCCAGACUCCUACGGGGGGCAGCAGUGAGGAAUUUUCCGCAAUGGAGGCAACUCUGACGGAGCAACGCCGCGUGCAGGAUGAAGGUUUUCGGAUCGUAAACUGCUUUUCUCGGGGACGAGCAAGGACGGUACCCGAGGAAGAGCCCGGCUAACUACGUGCCAGCAGCCGCGGUAA
rnacentral:rRNA from 1 species